GAAGGAUUGAGAGACUAGGAGCGGUAUCCUGCACCUUAAGAAUCUGAUGUUGCCUUCAAGAAGAGACUAGCGCUGUUCUCACUACAGAGUGACACAUGAGAAGAUCAUGAAGAUAACAGUAAUGGUACUUAUUGCUCAACAAGAAGAUAGAAACCAAAGCAACACAUAUCAGCAACUGGAGGAAAUGAAUUACAAGAAAUGGUUUUCUUAAA